rnacentral:lncRNA from 1 species
CCAAAAUGUCCAUUUAUUUGGCGCAUUUGAUCCAGAAAAACACCAGUUCCAACUCGCGCAACAUGACUACAAAAUAUCUAUUAAGUUACCUGUAAUCUUUGUCCAAACAUUUCAAACAACUUUCCUAAUACAACUUUAGGUAUUUUUUAACGUAAAUAAUUGAUCAAAUUUAAGACAGGAUAAACUGUGUUCAAUACAGGACGAAAACAAAGUGGAGCGAGCCUUCAGGUCGUGCGCCUCAAACAAACAGUACACUUCACUCGACCCUCGUUCUGAACUGCACUACUUCUUCAUUUCUCAAAGGAAAAACAUCAACCAAUUUCUAAAGACUGUUGACAUCCAGUGAAAGCGAUAGGAACUGCAAGCAAG